GCGACACAGCCACUGCUGCUGCGUGCGACGGUGCGAGGGAGGUGAAGGCGAGGCAUACGGUGCGAGGGAGAGAGAUUGCUUGUAGGGGAAGAAAGCAGCGUAGACUUCUCGCUUACCAAUCCCGAUCAGCGAGCGGCGGAGCGCUUGGCUUCUCAACUCCGGCCGGCAACCGCUACAGGCCUCUACGCUGCGCCGGGUGGUCGAUCGAACGCGCGGUGGAGCGGAAGCAUUGCUCAGCAGAGCCCGUCAUCUACGGCGGCAGCGGCGGGUUGCACACGAAUUGAGCACUGGACCAGGCAUAUCAGUCAGGGAAGCAACUUCUGAAUUGUGGCCAUCCCCAUUUUCCAGAGAGUAUCCAGAAUGUGGGUCCGUGUGUUCGCCAUCCUUCUGUUCGCCUCCCAAGUCUUAUCUGCCAAACUUGAUGCUCGCGAUGUGGUGGGGAGUUGUCGCUACGAGAAGACUAGUGUUGCUGUGCUCACUUGCCUACAACCGGGUGGGAAAUGGAGUCCGCCAUCAACGGCAUGCUGCAAGGCGUUGCUGUAUGCCAUUGAUCAGUUACCGGGAAGUGGUGAGAGCGGAGCGUGCUGCCUGUGCCGUCAGGGAAAGGACAAGCAUAUUGUUAAUGUUAACAGAUGGACGUUUCCUUUCACAUCAUGCUAUCGAGUUUGUCCAGGUAACAAAGGAACAUCUUCUACCCAGAAAGAUCGCCCAGUGGUACACGCGCAUGGAGCAAGCAACACCAUCUUCAUGAUAAUUACUUCUAUAAAUGUUCCUAGACUACCCGGCCAACCAGGCCAUCUGAAAGGGGCAACCUUCGUAGAUCGUUGGAUCAGCUCUGAACAGUGAAAAUCUCCUCCCACUUUUCACUUCAGCCGUUGGAUGAAGUAAAAACCUUUCCCACUCGUUUAGCUUCUAAAAGCUUCCAUGACGCCUGGGACCAGCUAUGUGCGGGGCCCGACGGCGAGAGGCAGAGACGCCCGAUUGUUCGGUCGCGUUCUUUUUCCUCUCCGCAUGCCAGGGGUGAAACCCUAGAUCGCUGCUCCAAUCGCCGGCCAUAGUGUCGUCUGGAUGCGGCAGCGUCUGGGCGUCUCUCUCUCCCUCCCCAAUCCCGUCUCUCCUCCUCCGCCCCUCUCUCCCCGCCCCAGCCGCAUGUGAGUCCGGAGAGGGCACUCCCAGGCCGGAGGAGGGUGGAGGCGAACGGAUGGAGCGGGAUGGAUGACCACGACGGGGACGGCCGGGGUCGUGGGCUGCAGGAGCAAGCAUGGAGGGCGGCGGCGCGCCGGCUUGAGAAGGUCAUCCACAGGGGGCUGGGCUCGAGAUCUUCUUCUCUGGUUCGUUAUCUACUCCGCCAUUAACAGUUGCUAGACGAGACAGAUAAGAGCUGCAGAUCUCGUCAAAAAAUUGGUUGUUCCCUUCUUCUUCCAUGCUGAUUCAGGGCUCUAGGCGUGGAGUUCAGGGAUGGAGCGUCGGCCGUCCCCCGUCGACCGGGUCGGCGGCAGAGUAGGCGCUUACGCGUGCCAUCGAUUUCGUCCAGCGGCGGAGAGAGGAAGCAAACGAGCGGCGACGGCUGGUGCGCGCGCCCUCGAUUUCAUCCUCGGCACAGGCCUGAGCCGCCGCUGCUCUUCUCCCUGUCCGACUCCCUGUGACCGCCGGCCGUGGCUUGGGUCGCCGCAGACUCUCACUUGGACGGUGGACCCCGACCACGGAGCUUGCUCCUGGAUGGGAUUGAGCUGCGCAAGGCUGGUAGCAGGAUCCGGAGCCGCGCGGGACACCAGGGAGUCGCGCGACGCGUAAGGUGUCUUCAGGAUCGAUGAUUCAUCUACCGCAAGAAAAUACGCAGAUCGGUGCUUCGGUGGUGCUUCAGACAAGAUGACAUGAAAAGUCCUACUAAUCAGAGUUCAGAUAUUUUUUAAUCCCUCUAUGCAUGCUCUGGUGCGUGGUUCUCAUCGAAUCUUCAGGUUUCCAUCUACUUGCAGGCAAACAAAUUGGCAGAACUGCAGAAGCAGCUAAAUUGGUCGGAUCUAAAAAAAAAGACUUCUUCCUUGGGUUUUACUUUGGACAUAUUGCAGGUGUGAAAAAAUUAUUUUGUAUUGCAUUGGGUGUAUAUGCUGACUCCAACUCAAAUCUGUAAUCUCAAGGAUGAAUAGAGAUGCAGUGAGAGAAAAAGUUCGUUUUGAUUUCAGAAUAGAAGUCAGAGCUACCGGGCCUGGAGAAAUUCGCCGCGGUGCGCCAAGACCACCUUCGUCUCCGUCUACUUCUCAAACCUCAUCCGGAAGGUAGUUUUCAGUAGAAAGUUCAAAGGAGUGUGCAAAUUCUCCAAUAAUUUUAUGGUUUCAAUCUCAAGUCAUUCCAUCAUUUUACAUCAAGUUCCUGUAGGACACGUUGGGGUAGGAGGUGCUCUUUUGAAAACCAACACUGCAGAACUUGGAGCUGCCGGGCCUAGAGAAAUUCACUGCGUUGAGCCAAGACCACCCGCAUCUCCAUCAAUCUGUCCAGUGGCAAAGUCACGCCAACCUCAUCCAGAAGCUUGGUCAAAAGAAGAAAGUGCAAACGGUGGCUUAUGAUUUCUACCUCGAUGCAUGCCCCGGUAGGCAAAACGACAUGAAAAUAUAAGCUCAAGAGCUCUUACCAGACCAAUAUCUCUAUGCGUUGGACAUUGUCUACUAACAGUAUGUGAAGAUAGCGAGGAUUGCUACCGGAGCAUGGCCGCUUGCGCUGGUUAACGAAUGAGCACAGAUGUGACAGUUAAUAGAAAAUCCGUGUUGCCCGAGACCAAGCUCAAGGACGGGGAUAGAGUUGAAGUGAGGUUUUCUCUGCAUAUUAGCCGGAGUAAUUUAUCAGGUUGGCUACCACCUCCUAAAUUUGUAAAUAAUGAAACCAUCUGGUAGUAAUUUGUGCUGCAAAUAUAAGUUUUCAUGCAAUAAAUUCAAGUUUGAAUUGCA